AUGAGGAAAAAUUUAUUGGAAUUUAUGAUUACAACGUAUGAUAGUAGUAGAAAGCGAUUUAUUAUUCGGCCAAAUACUGACGGCAUCAAUGUGCUUAAUGAAGAUGUUUAUGACAUAUUCGGGCUACGUAACGAGUGUGAUGAUGUCAAUAGCAUGAUAGCAACAGUACAACUAGACAUUGUUGAUAGUCAGUCAUAUGAUGAUGAUUUUGUGAGAAGGGCCGUACUGGUUCUUAUGGGUACAGUCUUAGCACCACAAUCCACCAAGUUUGUUCCUUAUCGUUAUUACAAAAUGGUGGAGGACGUCAAUGCUAUCAAGUCAUACAAUUGGAACGGUUUCACGUUGGGGGUGUGCAUGGAUGCUAUUAAAAAAAGGUCGAAGAUCUUGAAAAAUUCAAGUGGCCUAUUGGGAACUUGGCUCUUCUUCAGAAACGGAAGGAAAAAAGCGAGACGACUAUGA
rnacentral:rRNA from 1 species